UACGUAGGUGGCAAGCGUUGUCCGGAUUUACUGGGCGUAAAGAGCGCGCAGGCGGUCGUUCAAGUCGCGUGUGAAAGCCCCCGGCUCAACUGGGGAGGGUCACGCGAUACUGAUCGACUCGAAGGCAGGAGAGGGUAGUGGAAUUCCCGGUGUAGUGGUGAAAUGCGUAGAUAUCGGGAGGAACACCAGUGGCGAAGGCGACUACCUGGCCUGUUCUUGACGCUGAGGCGCGAAAGCUAGGGGAGCAACGGGG
rnacentral:rRNA from 1 species